rnacentral:rRNA from 1 species
UCAUGGCUCAGAUUGAACGCUGGCGGCAGGCCUAACACAUGCAAGUCGAACGGUAACAUUUCUAGCUUGCUAGAAGAUGACGAGUGGCGGACGGGUGAGUAAUACUUAGGAAUAUGCCUUUGUGUGGGGGAUAACCAUUGGAAACGAUGGCUAAUACCGCAUAACGUCUUCGGACCAAAGGGGGCUUCGGCUCCCGCGCAAAGAGUAGCCUAAGCGAGAUUAGCUUGUUGGUGAGGUAAAGGCUCACCAAGGCGACGAUCUCUAGCUGUUCUGAGAGGAAGAUCAGCCACACUGGAACUGAGACACGGUCCAGACUCCUACGGGAGGCAGCAGUGGGGAAUAUUGCACAAUGGGGGAAACCCUGAUGCAGCCAUGCCGCGUGUGUGAAGAAGGCCUUCGGGUUGUAAAGCACUUUCAGUUGUGAGGAAAGGUUGAUGGUUAAUACCCAUUAGCUGUGACGUUAGCAACAGAAGAAGGACCGGCUAACUCCGUGCCAGCAGCCGCGGUAAUACGGAGGGUCCGAGCGUUAAUCGGAAUUACUGGGCGUAAAGCGCACGCAGGCGGUUUGUUAAGCUAGAUGUGAAAGCCCUGGGCUCAACCUGGGAAUUGCAUUUAGAACUGGCAGGCUAGAGUUUUGGAGAGGGGAGUGGAAUUCCAGGUGUAGCGGUGAAAUGCGUAGAUAUCUGGAGGAACAUCAGUGGCGAAGGCGACUCCCUGGUCAGUAACUGACGCUCAUGUGCGAAAGUGUGGGUAGCGAACAGGAUUAGAUACCCUGGUAGUCCACACCGUAAACGCUGUCUACUAGCUGUUUGUGGAUUUAAUCCGUGAGUAGCGAAGCUAACGCGAUAAGUAGACCGC